UUUUGCACGCACGAGGUUCAA
rnacentral:piRNA from 1 species